UGCGCAGGCGGUUUUGUAAGACAGAUGUGAAAUCCCCGGGCUUAGCCUGGGAACUGCGUUUGUGACUGCAAGGCUAGAGUACGGCAGAGGGGGGUGGAAUUCCUGGUGUAACAGUGAAAUGCGUAGAUAUCAGAAAGAACACCGAUGGCGAAGGCAGCCCCCUGGGCCUGUACUGACGCUCAUGCACGAAAGCGUGGGAGCAAACA
rnacentral:rRNA from 1 species